UGGUUCUGGCUGCAGGGCAAGGUGAGAUGAAGGCCUGACCUCUUCCCAGUGGCCAGAAGCAAUGGGUUUCUGCCCCCUAUCAGAAAAGCCCAGGCCAUACCCGAGCUCUCUGAAUGUAGGAAACAGGUUCACCGACCCUGGCCCUUGUCCCUAGAGGUGGCACUUGCACCCAAGGGGGUGAAAAUGGCCCAUGCCCAGGAUUCCCCAGACUGAAACCAAUACUGAGACUGUACCUGUUUCUUCUAGAAGAGGCAGAAGUAGGUAUCUUUAAACUUAGGAGCGGCUGAGUUAGGCGAAAGCCUAAC
rnacentral:lncRNA from 1 species